UACAGAGGGGGCUAGCGUUAUUCGGAAUUAUUGGGCGUAAAGGGCGCGUAGGCGGCCAUGCGUGUCUUCCGUGAAAUCCCUCGGCUUAACUGAGGACGUGCGGAAGAAACUGCAAGGCUCGAGUCCGGGAGAGGGGGGUGGAAUUCCCAGUGUAGCGGUGAAAUGCGUAGAUAUUGGGAGGAACACCGGUGGCGAAGGCGGCCCCCUGGACCGGCAUUGACGCUGAGGAGCGAAAGCCAGGGGAGCAAACGGG
rnacentral:rRNA from 1 species